GGUUAGUUAGCUAGCUGUGGUUGAAAUAGGCGAGUCUAGCUUAGGGGUGUGUUUGGUUAGUUAGCUAGCUGUGGUUGAAAUAGGCGAGUCUAGCUUAGGGGUGUGUUUGGUUAGUUAGUUAGCUGUGGUUGAAAUAGGCGAGUCUAGCUUAGGGGUGUGUUUGGUUAGUUAGCUAGCUGUGGUUGAAAUAGGCGAGUCUAGCUUAGGGGUGUGUUUGGUUAGUUAGCUAGCUGUGGUUGAAAUAGGCGAGUCUAGCUUAGGGGUGUUUUUGGUUAGUUAGCUAGCUGUGGUUGAAAUAGGCGAGUCUAGCUUAGGGGUGUUUUUGGUUAGUUAGCUAGCUGUGGUUGAAAUAGGCGAGUCUAGCUUAGGGGUGUGUUUGGUUAGUUAGCUAGCUGUGGUUGAAAUAGGCGAGUCUAGCUUAGGGGUGUGUUUGGUUAGUUAGCUAGCUGUGGUUGAAAUAGGCGAGUCUAGCUUAGGGGUGUGUUUGGUUAGUUAGCUAGCUGUGGUUGAAAUAGGCGAGUCUAGCUUAGGGGUGUGUUUGGUUAGUUAGCUGUGGUUGAAAUAGGCGAGUCUAGCUUAGGGGUGUGUUUGGUUAGUUAGCUGUGGUUGAAAUAGGUGAGUCUAGCUUAGGGGUGUGUUUGGUUAGUUAGCUGUGGUUGAAAUAGGUGAGUCUAGCUUAGGGGUGUUUUUGGUUAGUUAGCUAGCUGUGGUUGAAAUAGGUGAGUCUAGCUUAGGGGUGUGUUUGGUUAGUUAGCUAGCUGUGGUUGAAAUAGGCUAGUCUAGC